GUGAGGAAUUUUCCGCAAUGGGCGAAAGCCUGACGGAGCAAUGCCGCGUGAAGGAUGAAGGCCUAUGGGUUGUAAACUUCUUUUCUCAGAAAAGAAUUAUGACGGUAUCUGAGGAAUAAGCAUCGGCUAACUCUGUGCCAGCAGCCGCGGUAAGACAGAGGAUGCAAGCGUUAUCCGGAAUGAUUGGGCGUAAAGCGUCUGUAGGUUGUUUAAAAAGUAUUCUGUCAAAGAUUAGGGCUUAACCCUAGAUAGGCAGAAUAAACUUUUAAGCUAGAGGUUGGUAGAGGCAGAGAGAAUUCCCGGUGGAGCGGUGAAAUGCGUAGAGAUCGGGAGGAACACCAAAGGCGAAGGCACUCUGCUGGGCCAAUACUAACACUGAGAGACGAAAGCGAGGGGAGCAAAUGGGAUUAGAAACCCGAGUAGUCC
rnacentral:rRNA from 1 species